UACGUAGGUGGCAAGCGUUGUCCGGAUUUACUGGGCGUAAAGAGCGCGCAGGCGGUCGGAUAAGUCGAGUGUGAAAGCCCCUGGCUCAACCAGGGAGGGUCACUCGAUACUGUUCGACUCGAAGGCAGGAGAGGGAAGUGGAAUUCCGGGUAUAGUGGUGAAAUGCGUAGAUAUCGGGAGGAACACCAGUGGCGAAGGCGACUACCUGGCCUGUUCUUGACGCUGAGGCGCGAAAGCUAGGGGAGCAAACGGGG
rnacentral:rRNA from 1 species